rnacentral:rRNA from 1 species
GACGAACGCUGGCGGCGUGCCUAAUACAUGCAAGUAGAACGCACAGUUUAUACCGUAGCUUGCUACACCAUAGACUGUGAGUUGCGAACGGGUGAGUAACGCGUAGGUAACCUGCCUGGUAGCGGGGGAUAACUAUUGGAAACGAUAGCUAAUACCGCAUAAUAUUAAUUAUUGCAUGAUAAUUAAUUGAAAGGUGCAAUUGCACCACUACCAGAUGGACCUGCGUUGUAUUAGCUAGUAGGUGAGGUAACGGCUCACCUAGGCGACGAUACAUAGCCGAGCUGGGAGGGUGAUCGGCCACACUGGGACUGGGACACGGCCCAGACUCCUACGGGAGGCAGCAGUAGGGAAUCUUCGGCAAUGGACGAAAGUCUGACCGAGCAACGCCGCGUGAGUGAAGAAGGUUUUCGGAUCGUAAAGCUCUGUUGUAAGAGAAGAACGGGUGUGAGAGUGGAAAGUUCACACUGUGACGGUAUCUUACCAGAAAGGGACGGCUAACUACGUG